GAUGAACGCUGACAGAAUGCUUAACACAUGCAAGUCGAUGGGGAAGUGGUGCUUGCACCAUGGCAACCAUGGCGGACGGGUGAGUAACGCGUAAGGGACUUACCUGCAGGACUGGGAUAACAGGAGGAAACUCCUGACAAGACCGGAUAAUGUCAUGGAGCUGCAUGGCAUUAUGAUGAAAGGAGACGCCUGCGGAGAGCCUUGCGUCCUAUUAGCUAGUUGGUGAGGUAAUGGCUCACCAAGGCGAAGAUAGGUAGCCGGCCUGAGAGGGUGGACGGCCACAAGGGGACUGAGAUACGGCCCUUACUCCUACGGGAGGCAGCAGUGGGGAAUAUUGGACAAUGGGGGCAACCCUGAUCCAGCAAUUCUGUGUGCACGAAGAAGGUUUUCGGAUUGUAAAGUGCUUUCAGCAGGGAAGAAGUAAGUGACGGUACCUGCAGAAGAAGCGACGGCUAAAUACGUG
rnacentral:rRNA from 1 species